CAGCAGCCACGGUAAUACGGAGGGAGCUAGCGUUGUUCGGAAUUACUGGGCGUAAAGCGCGCGUAGGCGGUUACUCAAGUCAGAGGUGAAAGCCCGGGGCUCAACCCCGGAACUGCCUUUGAAACUAGGUGACUAGAAUCUUGGAGAGGUCAGUGGAAUUCCGAGUGUAGAGGUGAAAUUCGUAGAUAUUCGGAAGAACACCAGUGGCGAAGGCGACUGACUGGACGAGUAUUGACGCUGAGGUGCGAAAGCGUGGGGAGCAAACAGGAUUAGAUACCCCAGUAGUCCCUGUCUCUUAUAC
rnacentral:rRNA from 1 species